rnacentral:rRNA from 1 species
UACGUAGGGUGCGAGCGUUAAUCGGAAUUACUGGGCGUAAAGCGUGCGCAGGCGGUUCGGAAAGAAAGAUGUGAAAUCCCAGAGCUUAACUUUGGAACUGCAUUUUUAACUCCCGGGCUAGAGUGUGUCAGAGGGGGGUAGAAUUCCACGUGUAGCAGUGAAAUGCGUAGAGAUGUGGAGGAAUACCGAUGGCGAAGGCAGCCCCCUGGGACAACACUGACGCUCAGGCACGAAAGCGUGGGGAGCAAACAGG